GAGGAGCCUGCGGCGGAUUAGCUAGUUGGUAGGGUAACGGCUUACCAAGGCGACGAUCCGUAACCGGCCUGAGAGGGCGGUCGGUCACACUGACACUGACAUACGGGUCAGACUCCUACGGGAGGCAGCAGUCGGGAAUUUUGGGCAAUGGGCGAAAGCCUGACCCAGCAACGCCGCGUGAAGGAUGAAAUCCCUCGGGAUGUAAACUUCGCAAGAAUGGGAAGAAUGAGCGAGCGCUAAUACCGUUCGUGAUGACGGUACCAUUUGUAAGCUCCGGCUAACUCCGUGCCAGCAGCCGCGGUAAUACGGGGGGAGCAAGCGUUGUUCGGAUUUACUGGGCGUAAAGGGCGCGUAGGCGGCCAGCGCAAGUCGGUUGUGAAAUCUCCGGGCUUAACUCGGAAAGGUCAACUGAUACUGCGCGGCUAGAGUGCGGAAGGGGCAACUGGAAUUCUCGGUGUAGCGGUGAAAUGCGUAGAUAUCGAGAGG
rnacentral:rRNA from 1 species